ACAGUAGUAGCUCAGUUGGAAGAGCGCAUGCCUGUCACGCAUGAGGUCGCGAGUUCGAACCUCGUCUACUGUU
rnacentral:tRNA from 1 species